CAUAGGAAGCAGAAGAUGAACCAAGUCCAUCUUCACUUGGAGCCAAGGUCAAGAGCUCCCUGCUGAUUUACAAGAGCCCAUGUCACUUCUGCACUUCAGUAAACCCGGACGGGGACUCGUCGGCAAAGGAAGCAGAUGGUGUCCCGAGUCCAUCUUCACUUGGAGAACCUCAAGUCAGGAUACACUUCUCAUAGAACACAGAGUAACAGGAAAUCUAGUCAUACAUGAUG